GCCGGAUUAGCUCAACGGGCAGAGCACCUAUCUAGUAAAUAGGAAUUGAGCGGGUUCGAGUCCUGCAUCCGGCUCCA
rnacentral:tRNA from 3 species